UACGUAGGGUGCAAGCGUUGUCCGGAAUUAUUGGGCGUAAAGAGCUCGUAGGCGGUUUGUCGCGUCGUUCGUGAAACCCACGGCUUAACUGUGGGCUUGCGGUCGAUACGGGCAGGCUAGAGUUCGGUAGGGGAGACUGGAAUUCCUGGUGUAGCGGUGAAAUGCGCAGAUAUCAGGAGGAACACCGGUGGCGAAGGCGGGUCUCUGGGCCGAUACUGACGCUGAGGAGCGAAAGCGUGGGGAGCGAACAGG
rnacentral:rRNA from 1 species